rnacentral:rRNA from 1 species
CGGUAAGGCCGGGCACUCUGGAUGGACUGCCGGCGACAAGCCGGAGGAAGGUGGGAUGACGUCAAGUCAUCAUGGCCCUUAUGUCCAGGGCGACACACGUGCUACAAUGGCCGGCACAGCGGGAAGCGAGGGGCGGACCUUGAGCGGAUCCCUCAAAGCCGGUCUCAGUUCGGAUUGCAGUCUGCAACUCGACUGCAUGAAGUUGGAAUCGCUAGUAAUCGUGGAUCAGCCAAGCCGCGGUGAAUACGUUCCCGGGCCUU